rnacentral:lncRNA from 1 species
ACCCACAACAGCAAGGGCAUCAACUACCAGAUCCUUUCCAACCCAGAGUUCCUUGCGGAGGGCACUGCCAUUGAGGACCUGUUCAAGCCUGACAGAGUGCUUAUCGGUGGCCGGGAGACCCCUGAGGGCAGGAAGGCCGUCCAGGCUCUCAAGGAUGUGUACGCUCACUGGGUUCCCGAGGACAGGAUCCUCACCACCAACCUGUGGUCUGCUGAGCUCUCCAAGCUCGCUGCCAACGCGUUCCUGGCACAGAGGAUCUCCUCUGUGAACGCCAUCUCCGCCCUCUGCGAGGCCACCGGCGCGAAUGUGACUGAGGUGGCUUACGCCGUGGGCAAGGACACGAGGAUUGGCCCCAAGUUCCUGAACGCCAGUGUUGGGUUCGGUGGGUCUUGCUUCCAGAAGGACAUCCUGAACCUGGUGUACAUCUGCGAGUGCAAUGGCCUGCCCGAGGUGGCCAACUACUGGAAGCAGGUGAUCAAGAUCAACGACUACCAGAAGAGCCGGUUCGUGAACCGCGUCGUGUCGUCCAUGUUCAACACCGUUGCCGGCAAGAAGAUCGCCGUCCUCGGCUUCGCCUUCAAGAAGGACACCGGCGACACCAGGGAGACCCCGGCCAUCGAUGUCUGCAAGGGCCUGCUGGGUGACAAGGCCCAGAUCAGCAUCUACGACCCCCAGGUGACGGAGGACCAGAUCCAGCGGGACCUAGCCAUGAACAAGUUCGACUGGGACCACCCGAUGCACCUGCAGCCGACGAGCCCGACGGCCGUGAAGCAGGUGAGCUGCGUGUGGGACGCGUACGAGGCCACCAAGGGCGCCCACGGGCUGUGCAUCCUGACCGAGUGGGACGAGUUCAAGACCCUGGACUACCAGAAGAUCUUCGACAACAUGCAGAAGCCCGCCUUCGUCUUCGACGGCCGCAACAUCGUCGACUCCGAGAAGCUGAGGGAGAUCGGCUUCAUC